GUAUUUACGUCCACAUUUCUAAAUAAUAAGCUUUUACUAAUAUCUUUAAUUUAUCAAUCAUGUAUGGGAUUUAUUAAUGAGGAUUUGAUCCUCCUUUCCAACUGACUAACCAAUAAAACUAUUGCAUAUUUUUGAUGAAUCAAUAAUUAAUAUUUACCCUGUUUUAACUAUGCAAACAUAGUUUGUUGAUAAGCCAAGUAAGUGAGCUAUAAUUGUUUCUCAUAUAACUUUUCUUUCUGGAGUUAACUGCACUCUUUUUUUCAUUUGCUUUGUUUUCUUGAUGUUUCUCUCUCAUUCUUUCCACAUCCUCUAACCUCACAAUAUAAUUUUCCACACAAACCUUUCCAGUUUCUCUUUUCUGUUUUUAAAUCUUGGAGCUCUUUGUCUUCUUGGUACAAUCUGGACUGAUCACUCUAGUUCUGCUUUGCAUCCAUUUUUC
rnacentral:lncRNA from 1 species